CUUUGGUUAUCACCAAGUUUUAGCUGGUUGUCCAGCUGGAACCUUCCAUUUGGGGUAGAAUGGCAGGGCUAAAUUGAAAAGAGGCAGAGUCCUGUCUGACAUGGACAGUUUAAUCAGACCUCCUCUUUCCUUUAUAGCUGAUGUAAUGCUGGUGCAACCCAGAGUAGAAUUUAUUUUGUCUUUUAUUGAUCACAUUGCUGGAGAUGAGGAUCAUACGGAUGGAGUGGUAGCUUGUGCUGCUGGACUGAUAGGGGACUUGUGUACAGCAUUUGGAAAGGAUGUACUGAAAUUAGUAGAAGCUAGGCCAAUGAUCCAUGAACUAUUAACUGAAGGGCGGAGAUCGAAGACUAACAAAGCAAAGACCCUUGCUACGUGGGCAACAAAGGAACUGAGGAAACUGAAGAACCAAGCUUGAUCUGGUACCAUUGGGAUGAUGACCUGAGACCCCCACUGGAAAUCUCCAAUCUUUUGAAAAAACCCGGAAGUGAGGAGUGUGCACGGAUGCUGAAUGUUUGGGAAUGAGAGGAUGAGUGAGUGAGGCUUGAAAACACCACACUGAAAAUCCUGCCACAGCCAACAGCAGCAGCGCUGUUAGUGAGCUAAGUAAGCACUGACUUUGUAGAAAACAUAACAUCAGCCAUCUUGGAACAGAGAAACAAUGGAUUUACUUACUUAUUAAAAAC
rnacentral:lncRNA from 1 species